AUGAAGAGAAAGAGGACUCUGCAUAGUUGGUUUGCAAGUAGUUCAAAUACACUUCCUAUUAUUCCUGAAUCCAAUGUUGCCCCAAUUAAUGUUAUUGUUCAGCCUACCCUCAUAGAGAACAUAAUCCCCGAUGAUCCAACAAAUGAGAGCACUAAUCCCUCGGUUGAUGAGAGAACUAAUCCCUCGGUUGAUGAGAGCACCAAUCCCACUUCAAAUGAGAGAACCAAUCCCCCAACCGAUGAGAGCACAAACCAACCAGCACCACCAACACAAUGUGCAGAUUUUUGGAUGAUAAUGGAGAGCUUCAGGAGAGAUUUCUUGCUAUUAAGCACAUCACAGAUUGCACAUCUACCGGAAUUAAAGAAGCAUUGUUUCAUGUCUUAA
rnacentral:rRNA from 1 species